rnacentral:rRNA from 1 species
GAUGAACGCUGGCGGCGUGCUUAACACAUGCAAGUCGAACGGAAAGGCCCUGCUUUUGUGGGGUGCUCGAGUGGCGAACGGGAGAGUAACACGUGAGUAACCUGCCCUUGACUUUGGGAUAACUUCAGGAAACUGGGGCUAAUACCGGAUAGGAGCUCCUGCUGCAUGGUGGGGGUUGGAAAGUUUCGGCGGUUGGGGAUGGACUCGCGGCUUAUCAGCUUGUUGGUGGGGUAGUGGCUUACCAAGGCUUUGACGGGUAGCCGGCCUGAGAGGGUGACCGGCCACAUUGGGACUGAGAUACGGCCCAGACUCCUACGGGAGGCAGCAGUGGGGAAUAUUGCACAAUGGGCGGAAGCCUGAUGCAGCAACGCCGCGUGCGGGAUGACGGCCUUCGGGUUGUAAACCGCUUUCGCCUGUGACGAAGCGUGAGUGACGGUAAUGGGUAAAGAAGCACCGGCUAACUACGUG